GACCAAUUCAAUCUGAAAAAAAAAAAGCACAUGAAGAUUCUAGAUAAGCAAAAAAAUUAUCAAACAUGACAAUGAUGCACAGAUACAAUGGGUGAGUAUCAGAUAUCAUACAAGCCUAGUAUGGUGAUAUAGGAAGCAAUGCAUGUGGGAUACAGAUUCAGAACUGUAUAAAAAAUCAUGAAGCAUAACAAAAACAUAAUUCCAUCCUUCAAAUCCAAAUUAAGAAUAUUGGAUGUAAUGGGCUUAGACCCAUCUCUUUGAUUUUUUUCUAUUUAUAAAUGCAUGACCCUAUGUGCUUUAUACACAUUAGGGACUCAGCCUAUGUCUCUCUCUUUUAUUUUAACAAAGACCAUGCUUGUUCGAUCUUACAAAAAUAUUAUAAAGUGUUACCUAUUACAAAAAUCUCAUUCCCUUCUUGAGCAUUAUCCUUAAAGAGGAUAAGCUCUGUUUUCUAGUUCAAUGAGACAAGGUUCCUGGGUUCCAUCUUGUAUGCAUCUGUCUCACUAACUGAAUUAGACUUCCACAGCUUUUUUUAAAGGGUUUGAUAUUUCACAAAUACAUAUUAAUGAAGUAUCCAAGAGAACUGGUAUAUGAAUACAAAAACAAAACGCAAUAAUUUAGUCAGGGAUAUUUUGGAUUCAUAAUAAAAUCAAGUAUAUCGUUAACUACAAGUGCAGCAACACGUGAACUAUAGUUGAUUGAUUAAAAGUUGCAUAAAAGAG
rnacentral:sRNA from 1 species